rnacentral:rRNA from 1 species
UACAGAGGGUGCAAGCGUUAAUCGGAAUUACUGGGCGUAAAGCGUGCGUAGACGGUUAUGUAAGUCAGAUGUGAAAGCCCCGGGCUUAACCUGGGAAUGGCAUUUGAGACUGCAUAGCUAGGGUGCGGAAGAGGGAAGCGGAAUUUCCGGUGUAGCGGUGAAAUGCGUAGAUAUCGGAAGGAACACCAGUGGCGAAAGCGGCUUCCUGGUCCAGCACCGACGUUCAGGCACGAAAGCGUGGGGAGUAAACAGG